rnacentral:lncRNA from 1 species
AAAUCUUAUCGUCGCCAUUCAACAUCUAACACCGACCAUUCCUAGUGCAAGUGACAAAAAAAUUGACGGUUGAUAUCUGUUAAAUAUAAAAAUUUAAAAUCUACUACAGAAUAACAGUUAUUUUGUAUUAUUUAAUAUUGUAUUAAAGUAGGAGGUAUUGAGUUUGAAUCAGUCCAGACUCUUAGUAUUAUUGAUUUCCUCCUAUUUAAUUUACGUCCGCAUUAUUGAUUUUUUUCCUAUUUAACUCACAUCCAACGACGUCAUGAACCUAGUAAAAAGUCUCAAAACUAAAACACCCAGUUGUGAGGGGAGUGUUAAACACUAUUUUCUACUUGUGACCAUAGUUAGUUAAUUCGGAUUCGGCAAAAAUUCGGUACGGGUAUAAUACGUAUAAAAUUUGUUUUCUAAUUUUUAAAUUCGUUGAAAAAUUCGGCUUAAAAACGGAUUCGGUGUAAAAUAUAAGAUAUAAGAUAUAAAAUAUAAGAUAAUUUAUAUUUAAAUAUAAAAAUUAUAUGUUUUUUAUUCAUAUUUUUAAUAAUUCGGGAAUAAUUCGUGAAUAAUUCGGCUGGUCCAAAAAUUCGCGAAUAAUUCUCUAUCUUUGAAAAAAAUUCGUAAACGGACCGUUUAAUUCGGAUUUUCAAUAAUUCGCUAAUAAUUCGCGAAUUAACUAACAUAUCUUGUGACACCUCAAGAUUUAGAAUAGUUAUAUAUAAAGGAUAUAAUAAGAUUAAACCUCUUAACUUGACUAUAGUAUUUCGAAUAGCGUUUAAGUCUAAAAGGUUAAGAAGGUUAAGUAUGCUAGGGUUGGAGUAGUUCUAAGAUAAAUGACUCCCUGAAAAUGGGGCGUCAAAGUUGGCACCAAAUCCAAUUAUCUAACAAAAUUUUGAGAUCAGUUUCGACUGAGUUAGGAUUAUACAACAUGUAAAGCAUU